CCCAGCUACAGAGGAUGGAACAUGUGGACAGCAUAGUGAAGCCCAGGGUGGCUGGAUAGUCCCUGUAAGGGCAGAAGCAGGCAUGUUUCUUGUGGCCAACAUUAAACAUGAAAACCAAGCGACCAUGGGCCAAGAAUAGAGUCAUGAAGUCAUUCUCUUCUUGAUCAGAGACAUAGAAAAUCAUACCGUGGGAAGAACGAGUUUUCAGACUUAUGGAAAACUGAGAUCUGGCCUGGAGCUCCUGGAAAACAAAAUAACAUCUGGUGUGGGGGAUAGCAAAAGAGGACUUGGCUGGGAUGGAGUACACAAUCCCCUAGAUCUAGCCUAGUGUGGCUGUACUUCCUCCAUGGGGGCCUGUGACUGAUCAUAUGCAGUUUUUUUCCUCCCUUGGAAUGCAUAAUGCACACAUAGAAAAGAGCACAAGUCACAAGGAUGCAACUUGAUGAGAGAAACCUAAACUACAGAAGAUGGCACUACUUUUUUCAAAUUUUCAGCCACUGAACAGUGAUUCUUAAAGUAUGGUCAAGUAUCAUCAGCCAGUAUCAUCAGCUUCAAAAGGAACUUACUGGAAAUGCAAAUUCUUUGACCCAUCCCAAACCUGCUGAAUGAGGAACUCUGGGAGUAGGGUCCAGCAACCUGGGUUUAACAAGCCUCCAGGGGAUUCUGAUGCACAAUAGUAUUUGAGAACCACUGGACCAGAGAAUGAAUAUUUUCUUGUGUAUUCUCCUGCCUAAGGGCAGGACCAUGGUCACUGAGCAUUAGCGGUAGGGCAAGAGCAAGCUUCUGACGAGAGCCAAACUAAAUUCAGA